rnacentral:rRNA from 1 species
AUUGAACGCUGGCGGCAGGCUUAACACAUGCAAGUCGAGCGGAGAUGAGGUGCUUGCACCUUAUCUUAGCGGCGGACGGGUGAGUAAUGCUUAGGAAUCUGCCUAUUAGUGGGGGACAACAUUCCGAAAGGAAUGCUAAUACCGCAUACGUCCUACGGGAGAAAGCAGGGGAUCUUCGGACCUUGCGCUAAUAGAUGAGCCUAAGUCGGAUUAGCUAGUUGGUGGGGUAAAGGCCUACAAAGGCGACGAUCUGUAGCGGGUCUGAGAGGAUGAUCCGCCACACUGGGACUGAGACACGGACCAGACUCCUACGGGAGGCAGCAGUGGGGAAUAUUGGACAAUGGGGGGAACCCUGAUCCAGCCAUGCCGCGUGUGUGAAGAAGGCCUUAUGGUUGUAAAGCACUUUAAGUGAGGAGGAGGCUACUGAGACUAAUACUCUUGGAUAGUGGACGUUACUCGCAGAAUAAGCACCGGCUAACUCUGUGCCAGCCGCCGCAGUAACAC